rnacentral:rRNA from 1 species
UACAGAGGUCUCAAGCGUUGUUCGGAUUCAUUGGGCGUAAAGGGUGCGUAGGCGGCGCGGUAAGUCGGGUGUGAAAUCUUGGAGCUUAACUCCGAAACUGCAUUCGAUACUGCGGUGCUUGAGGACUGGAGAGGAGACUGGAAUUCGUGGUGUAGCAGUGAAAUGCGUAGAGAUCAUGAGGAAGACCAGUGGCGAAGGCGGGUCUCUGGACAGUUCCUGACACUGAGACACGAAGGCCAGGGGAGCAAACGGG